UAGGUGUUCUUGAAACCUAGAGAAUUUGGCGGUAUUUUAGUCUUUUUAGAGGAACCUGUCCUAUAAUCGAUAAUCCACGAUGUUAUUACCUACUUUGUUCAUACGUUUGUAUAUCGCCGUCAGAAGGGAGUUUCAUUAGGAUAUUAAAUUUUUAUAAUAUUGAGUAAUAGGAUGGCAGGUCAAGGUGCAGCUUAUAAGUGGGGAGGAGAUGGGUUACAAUAUAUGUUAUGUAUAACGGAAUCUUUAGGAGGGCUAGGGAUGGAAGGUGGAUUUAAAAGUAAUUUUUAAAUAUAAGGGUGAAAAUGACCCUAAAAUGUGCACACAUCGCCCGUCGCUCU
rnacentral:rRNA from 1 species